rnacentral:rRNA from 1 species
UCAGAAGUGCGAAUGCUGACGUGAGUAACGACAAAACGGGUGAAAAACCCGUUCGCCGAAAGACCAAGGGUUCCAGUCCAACGUUAAUCGGGGCUGGGUGAGUCGACCCCUAAGGCGAGGCCGAAAGGCGUAGUCGAUGGGAAAAUGGUUAAUAUUCCAUUACUUCUGUGUAAUGCGAUGAGAGGACGGAGAAGGCUAAAUCAGCCUGGCGUUGGUUGUCCAGGUGAAAGGAUGUAGGCAUGUAUCUUAGGCAAAUCCGGGGUACUCUAUGCUGAGAUCUGAUAGCAAGCUGUACUUGUACAGCGAAGUGGUUGAUGCCAUGCUUCCAGGAAAAGUCUCUAAGCUUCAGUUACACAGGAAUCGUACCCGAAACCGACACAGGUGGUCAGGUCGAGUAGACCAAGGCGCUUGAGAGAACUCUGCUGAAGGAACUAGGCAAAAUGGUACCGUAACUUCGGGAGAAGGUACGCUGUUGUUGGUGAUGGAACUCGCUUCCUGAGCUGACGACAGCCGCAGAAACCAGGCCGCUGCAACUGUUUAUUAAAAACAUAGCACUCUGCAAACACGAAAGUGGACGUAUAGGGUGUGAUGCCUGCCCGGUGCUGGAAGGUUAAUUGAUGGGGUUAGCGUAAGCGAAGCUCUUGAUCGAAGCCCCAGUAAACGGCGGCCGUAACUAUAACGGUCCUAAGGUAGCGAAAUUCCUUGUCGGGUAAGUUCCGACCUGCACGAAUGGCAUAAUGAUGGCGGCGCUGUCUCCAGCAGAGGCUCAGUGAAAUCGAAAUCGCUGUGAAGAUGCAGUGUACCCGCGGCUAGACGGAAAGACCCCGUGAACCUUUACUGCAGCUUGACACUGAACUUUGACCUUACUUGUGUAGGAUAGGUGGGAGGCUUUGAAGCUGGAACGCUAGUUCCAGUGGAGCCGUCCUUGAAAUACCACCCUGGUAAUGUUGAGGUUCUAACUCUGUCCCGUGAUCCGGGACGAGGACCGUGUCUGGUGGGUAGUUUGACUGGGGCGGUCUCCUCCUAAAGAGUAACGGAGGAGUACGAAGGUGCGCUCAGCGUGGUCGGAAAUCACGCGUAGAGUAUAAAGGCAAAAGCGCGCUUAACUGCGAGACCCACAAGUCGAGCAGGUACGAAAGUAGGUCUUAGUGAUCCGGUGGUUCUGUAUGGAAGGGCCAUCGCUCAACGGAUAAAAGGUACUCUGGGGAUAACAGGCUGAUACCGCCCAAGAGUUCAUAUCGACGGCGGUGUUUGGCACCUCGAUGUCGGCUCAUCUCAUCCUGGGGCUGAAGCAGGUCCCAAGGGUAUGGCUGUUCGCCAUUUAAAGAGGUACGCGAGCUGGGUUUAGAACGUCGUGAGACAGUUCGGUCCCUAUCUACCGUGGGCGCUGGAAAUUUGAGAGGAUCUGCUCCUAGUACGAGAGGACCAGAGUGGACGAACCUCUGGUGUACCGGUUGUGACGCCAGUCGCAUCGCCGGGUAGCUAUGUUCGGAAGGGAUAACCGCUGAAAGCAUCUAAGCGGGAAGCCUACCUCAAGAUAAGAUUUCCCUAGGACUUUAUGUCCUCUAAAGAGCCGUUCGAGACUAGGACGUUGAUAGGUUGGAUGUGGAAGCAUAGUGAUAUGUGAAGCUGACCAAUACUAAUUGCUCGUGAGGCUUGACUA